rfam:Ictidomys tridecemlineatus contig035683, whole genome shotgun sequence.
GGGGUUGUGGCUCAGUGGCAGAGCACUCGCCUAGCACGUGCGAGACCCAGGUUUCAAUCCUCAGCACCA